rnacentral:tRNA from 1 species
UGGAAUGUAGUUUAAUGUAAAAUUAGGGUCUUUGAUUCCCUCGAUGAAAGGUCGCAUCUUUCCGUUUCAG